GGGCCCGCACAAGCGGUGGAGCAUGUGGAUUAAUUCGAAGCAACGCGAAGAACCUUACCUAGCCUUGACAUCCUUGGAACCUACCCUAAACGGUGGGGUGUCCUUCGGGAAAUCAAGUGACAGGUGCUGCAUGGCUGUCGUCAGCUCGUGUCGUGAGAUGUUGGGUUAAGUCCCGCAACGAGCGCAACCCUUGUCUUUAGUUGCCAGCAUUUAGUUGGGCACUCUAGAGAGACUGCCGGUGUCAAGCCGGAGGAAGGUGGGGACGACGUCAAGUCAUCAUGGCCCUUACGGCUAGGGCUUCACACGUGCUACAAAUGGACGAUACAAAGGGUUGCGAAGCCGCGAGGUGAG
rnacentral:rRNA from 1 species